AUCUAUUAACAUCAAAUUAAUCACGUUUUUAUGUUAAAAUUUAAAUUGGGAAAACAUUUAUGUCAAAUAAAAAAAAAGUUCAGCGGAAAAAAAAUCGCAGAAGAAUCCAGAAACGUCCUGCCAAAAAAAAAAAAAAGAGAAAUCGAUGAACGCCAAAACAAAGGGUUGUAACGUUCGGCGUCUAGAGAGCUUCGCCGGAACGGAGAGCCGUAAUUGGAGAGUCGAUCGGAGAAUUCUGCGCAACGGUGAUCCUCUCUUGCGAAGGUUGUAUGUUCGCUCUAGGUUUCUGUAAGUGGUUCGAUCUCCACGCCGCGAUUCUUUUGUAAGAUUUGUGGGAACGAACUCGUACUGCUUUCGAGAAAUUUGAAGCGUUUGGGAUGGUCGUCGCGGUUUAAUUGAGUAUUUACUGUUUAGAUUUGAAUUUUCUCGAACAUGUUUUGUUUGCCUCUGUGUUGUGUUCGUCGUCCUGACGGAUAUUGUGUGAGGAUCGAGAUUUUUUGGCGUAUUUUCCGCGAGAUCAUGUCGGUGUUACUGAUUUUGUUCAUGUACCAAGUAGCUUGUAUCCGUUUCUGCGAAAAGAAUGUUGAAAUCGCUUAUGCCUAUCCACCAUAUUAUAUCCAUUUGUACUCUUGAGAUUGAUGCAAUUUCCAAAAUGGUUUUUCUGUUUCUGCUCAUGGGUUAUCAAGUAUAUAAUGUGCUUAAGAGAUAAAAAAUAUAAAUCAACUGCGAUUCAGAUAUAUUAUAGAAAGUAGAAACAAUCUGUCACUGCUUUGUCACUGAUCUGGCAAGCUAUGGCUAUGUAGCAUGACAUACAGACACUUAUGUAUCAAUAAACAUUGAUGUGAAGUAGUGAAUGAGUUGAUUUUUUAUGUUGACCUACGUAUAAGUGUUUUCUUCAGUGUUCAUUGAGCGUUUGACAUGUCAAGACACUGUUGGACAACCAGCAUGAAAUCCCCAGACCAAGAACCCUAUAUCGGUUGGAAAGAAUUGGUGCAUGAUGAAAGAAAUUUAAAUGGCAUUUAAGAAUACUGUUUGAUGGGCUUGAGUUAACAAAGAUGCCUUGCACAAUAAUUAUAUUUCCCCUCUUAGAAUGGAGGGGAAUAAAAGUAAGGAGAAACAAGUUUGCUAGUUUCAAUAUCAGUCGAUGAAGUUAAAAACUCUGGUUCUUUUUCCUUUUGAUACUUUUGUGUAUUAGACUUGGUGAUGGUCAGAUUAGUCAAUUUCUAGUAAAUGAAUUAGAAUAAUCCAUUUUUAGUCAGCAUUUUCUUGAACUUUAAAAAAAGAUUUGCAUUUAUGACUUCAAAAUGCUACUAAAUACUUUUGCUUGUAGUUUUUAUUCGGCCUAGCCUUUCCAUCCACAUAUCCUUUCAUUUUGGUUGGACAUAUAUGGAGAUUCCAUAAACUUUCAUGAGCUAAUUUCGUGGCUAAGAGCAUGUGGCACAUAUGCAUAUAUCUGUUUCUGCUUUAGCUUUCCAUGGUACAUGCAAUAAUUACUCCACAAAAAGAGCAGGAAUUUUUGUUGUUGCUGUUUUGUUUUUGUUUUUUUUAUGGGCCGAUUUGGCUCAGCGGUAAGCUCACUUGCUGUGGGGUAUGAGGUCGCGGGUUCGAAUCAGCCUCACUGCAUAAAAAGCAGGGGUAAAGCUGUCUAGUAUGUUCCCUUCCCCAUCAUUCCGACUCGAACUGGUGGCAGACUGUGAAGACUUGCAAAAGAGAGUCGCUUGACAUCUCUGCUCAGUGUGACACGAUCCAGUUAUUGUUGUGAUCCAUUACCUGGAGCCCCUGGCCACUCUGGAGUAAUAUGGUGAGUGCGCCGUAAUCUGAGUGUGGUGGCAUUCCCAAGGUAAUUUCUGGUUCGGGACAUGCUGGAUAGCAAUUCACAGCUAUGACUUGUGAGCCGUCUUCAAUCUCUUCUUGCCAUACGUAUCUCGUGGAUUGUCUGUGAUCUAUGGGAAGGUUGGUCCAAGAGGGAAAGAUCAAUGACAGGAAGGGCGGUGUUGAUGUUUGGACGAAGAAGGGCUGGUCGUUGUGAGGGCGGGAGAACGUAACGGGAAGGCACCCGAGCAGCCCCUGACUCGUGUUGGGAGAAAUGGCUCUUCGAUUAAAAAAACAAGAUAGAGAGGUGGCCCUUUGUUAUUACGUAUCGGGGAAGAGAGGAUGGCUAGUUGCACCUUUUGCUACUCGGACUAAUGAUCUGCGGAGAUGGUGGUAAGCUGAGUUCAGGUAAGCUCAACGGUUUUUAUCCCUUGGAAUAGUGGGCACCUUCUUCUUUUAACUCAGGAGAUACUGAGGACAGGAUACUAAGCUUCUUUUCUGUGUACGCCGUUCAUGAGGUAGAAAUUAUCAUCGUCAUCAUUAUUAUUCUAUUAUUCUUUUGUUUAAACACGGAGGACAGACGAUUCCAAAAUAUUUCAGAGGUACGUCAUUCGUAAGGUUGAAAUUUAGGUCGAGGUUCACUGGAAGAAAUAAAUACGCGACCGUUUGCUUUUUUUUAUUUAUUAUUAUUAUAUUAAAAACUAGAUAACUAUUAGAUGGUUUAUUGGGUUUUUAUUUUUUGGCCGAUAAGUUUAUUGAGUUUUUUUUUUUGGGAGGUAUCUGCAUGCAAAGGCGCAUCUGUAUACCAAGAAAAAAGCUAAGUUUUGUAUUUUUUUUCCUCCUUAAAACAGAGGUAGGGGUGGUGUUUCUCUGAGAGGGUCCUUCUCGUGGGUUAGCAAGUGUUUGACCACUUGACCUAUGAGUCUAUGACAGUUGCCACUUGCCACCUCUUGCCUUUUUACUUCUCUGUGGUACCAAAGCCCGGGUUUUGUUUUUUUUGGGCUGUCGAAUGGCCGAGACACGUUUGAUGGGCUUGGGGUUGGUCUUGGUUUUCGGCUUCGGCUUUUGACUGAAGCCCAUAUUGGCAGAGUUCGUGUAUUGGUGUUUCUAGUUUAUCGUAUCCAUGAAGAAGAAGAAAAAAGAAGAAAAUCAUUCUCUCUCAAUUUUCAGAAAUGCUUUUGUCUGGUUUAUGUUUUUUGUUUUUGGUAAAGUUUGUCCAGUGGGUUUGAACUCGUGUGAAGGGAUAUUGUACAUUUUCACCUUAUAAUUCUGUCAUUCCACACACUGGGUAUGGUUUAUGUUCUUUGUCUUUGUCCAGGAAAACUUACGGUGCCUCAUCGGAAUAUUGCAAGGUACUUUCUUUGUCAUCGUAA